UGGACAGAUUAUUAUAUUCGACUAUAUUCACAGUGUGAAACAUGGGAUUACAUUGUUUUAAAAAAAAAAGUAAAUCAAUUAACAUAAUAGACUCCU
rnacentral:pre_miRNA from 1 species